GGUGAACGCUGGCGGCGUGCUUAAGACAUGCAAGUCGAACGCAGUCUUCGGACUGAGUGGCGCACGGGUGAGUAACACGUAACUGACCUACCCCCAAGUCGCGGAUAACUGGCCGAAAGGUCAGCUAAUACGUGAUGUGAUGUCCCCUUUCUGGGAGGCCAUUAAAGGUUUACUGCUGGGGGAUGGGGUUGCGUUCCAUCAGCUAGUUGGCGGGGUAAAGGCCCACCAAGGCAACGACGGAUAGCCGGCCUGAGAGGGUGGCCGGCCACAGGGGCACUGAGACACGGGUCCCACUCCUACGGGAGGCAGCAGUUAGGGAUCUUCCACAAUGGGCGAUAGCCUGAUGGAGCGAAGCCGCGUGAGGGAUGAAGGUUCUCGGAUCGUAAACCUCUGAAUCAGGGACGAAAGACGCGUAAGCGGGAUGACGGUACCUGAGUAAUAGCACCGGCUAACUCCGUGCCAGCCGCCGCCGUAA
rnacentral:rRNA from 1 species